UAGAAACUGUAUUAAAUAUAAUGCAUUGUGAUAAGCUAGUUGUUACAAUGCGUUUAAAAUGUUUUCUAAAUUCAAAUAAAAAAUGAAUAUUGGACUAUAUCUGUAAAUGUACAAAUCAUUUACUGCUGCAUCAGAUUAUCACCAAAUUCACCAACAGUGAUGUUCAAGUGUUGGCAGUUGCAUGGUGAUAAUGUGAUUCCUCUCUCAGGCUUCUGUGGAGCCUGGUGCUGAUGUCACCUACAGCUCCAUUGACCUGCCAAAUCCAGAGCAGAUGUCCUCUAGAUGUUCUUCUGCUGCAACACCAGCCAGCGAUGUGGUCUACAGCUUAAUCACCCUGAAGCACAGCGAGUAGGGGGCAGCAACAUGGAGAUGCUCCUCUACAUGUGGGGACCUACUGCUCAGGAUGAGAUCUGUGAGGGACAGUCAGAUACUCCAGUGAUGGGGAGGGAUAAUCACCAGAGAGGAGCAUCUUACAGUGAUGUACGCUGUAUUUAAAUGGCAUGACCUGUUCUCACACUGUAUACAAUAUAUACAUAAUAUACAAUAUUCUGAGAUGGUAUUUGCCAGUGACUGUCUUUCUCUUGUGUAUCUAUGAAUUAGUGAGAGGUCUAAGGGCUUUGCUGCCCCCUGCUGGAGCAACUUCACCAUUUCUCAGCCUCCUUGCUCUCCUCUUACUGUGGAGUUAAAAGCUGCCCAGUUACAUUUUGUUUUCUUUCAGUAUACAAGCUUCACAUUUUAGAUUUUGUUUUCACAGUAUUUUUUUCACACACAAUGUUAGGCUUUUGUUUAUUGAUAAGUUGAGUAUUAUUUAAAAUGCAGACCCCAGACUGUGAGACCCCUCAUAUGUAAUGUUAAUAAAAAUGCUUUACAUUAA